UUUCUUUUCUUUUCUUUUCUGUGUUUUUGGUUUUUCCCUUUGAAGAUUGGAAAUUUUUUGUUUUUGCUAUCUGGGUGUGGAGUAUGACACGCUGCUGCUCAUGACGGAUAAUGCUUUUCUCGUUCUCUGCUUCUUGUAAUUUUUGUGCCCGAUAAUUUGUGCUUUUUCUAAUUAUUGCUCCAUUUUGGUGAUAGAUUGAUGUGUUAUGGGAGAUGAGGCGAAAUGGGUUUGUAGGAUAAUACUUUGCGUGUUCUGAUCUGGGUUUCAUACUGGGUAUUAUUGUGUUUUGCAUUGGAUUCCUGAGCUUAUUUUUGGCUUUUUGUCCUAAAUCCACAUUGUGAUUUUUUCCCCCUUUUGUAAAGGCCUUAUCUUUUGUGGCUACUGCAAGUUCUACGGUUUCUGCACUCUGUUUUCCUUGGUGCCUGGUGGAGCGCUGUGGUUUUUAGGUUUUUAGCACCGACUUCUAUUAGGAGAUACUAUUUUGAAUGCCUAACUUAGAUCAUACUGUUGCAGUUUUUCUUGAUAAUUGCUUUUUUUUUUUUAAAUUUAUUUAGCACGUUUUUUCUUCUAUUAAUAGCAUGCGUAUUCAUUGUGUUUCACAGGAUACAAUAAUCAUAAAGCCUCCUAAGAAAUCUCCCAUUUUGUUAAGGAUGAUAGUUUUAGUAUUUGCCAUGGUCUGUGGUGUUUAUAUCUGCUCAAUUUGUUUAAAGCAGAUUAGCACCCAUAGUAAAAUUAAAAUCGAAGGUAUUCAAGUCAUUGAGAGGCCAUCUUUUGACAUUGAACCGAAACAGAGGCAAAUUCCAACUGUGCAUUUCCCACAUCCUGAAACUUUUAACAGGGCUGAAUGUGUCCAUAAUCCUGUCAGAUACUUUGCAAUACUAUCAAUGCAAAGAUCAGGGAGUGGAUGGUUUGAGACCUUGUUAAAUAGUCAUGUCAAUGUAAGCUCAAAUGGAGAGAUAUUUUCUGUGUUGGAUAGGAGGAGAAAUGCUUCAUCAAUUAUAAAGACUCUAGACAAACUUUACAAUUUGGAUUGGUUCACCAGUGCUUCUAAAAAUGAAUGCUCAGCAGCGGUUGGCUUCAAGUGGAUGCUUAAUCAGGGAUUGAUUGAGCACCAUAAAGAUAUAGUAGAAUACUUCAAUACUAGGGGUGUAUCUGCAAUAUUUUUGUUCCGAAGAAACUUGCUGCGACGGAUGGUUUCAGUUCUUUCUAACUCCUAUGAUCGGCAUGCUAAGUUAUUGAAUGGAACCCACAAGUCUCAUGUUCAUUCUGAAGAAGAGGCUGAAACCCUUUCAAAAUACAAGCCUACAAUCAAUUCCACAUUGUUGAUAGCUGAUCUAAAGGAGAUGGAGAUAAUGGCUGCCAGGGCUUUAGAAUACUUCAAUAGCACCCGUCGCAUCAUUUUGUAUUAUGAGGAUCUUAUGAAAAACCGCACAGUAAGUUAUUAUGACAUUCUCUCCUGAAAUCUGGAAGAAGUCCUAAUUGUGAAUAACCUGUUUAAUAAGCACACAAUCCAAUCAUAUUAAAAUUUGCAAAGCAAUACCUUAAUCAUGGCGUAAAUGUAAAUGUUGUCUAAUGUAUUCUUGUAUUUGCUAUACCCAUAACUAAAUGAAUCCUGAUAAUUUCAUUUUGUUUAAAAUUUUCUAAAGCUAUUUUUAAGUUCUGCUAUUUUAAUAAUAUUCACUAUGUACACCACAAGUCUGAAACCUCAUGCUUUUUUAUAUGCCAUGAAAUUGUUUCCAUCUUGAGAUCCUCUUUUUUGAGCGAAAAUUGUCCACUGUAUGUUAGUGCUACAACUGUUGAUAAUGAUGUGAAACUGCAAGUCUCAAUACUCAUUUUUCAUACUUGCUGCAGAAACUCAAGGAUGUUCAAGAAUUUCUGGGGCUUCCACUUAUGGAGUUAACUAGCCAUCAGGUCAAAAUACAUAAAGGUCCAUUGUCGGAUCAUAUUGAGAACUGGAAAGAUGUCAACAAGACACUAACCAGCACAGAGUAUGAAAAUUUCCUCCGAGUUGACUAUUAAAAUUUUCAAAGUCUACUAACCUCUGGAAUGGUGUAUGUGAAUACUGCUUCAACUAAUUUGUCCCAGAGGUGCUAGUGAAGCAAUGCUAAAAGUCCUAAGCUUGUAAAUUUAAGGGUGCAGUUUCAAGUCUUAUAGAUAGCAACUUCAAGCAGAAACCCUGAAGGAUGGGAUCGCCUCCAAAUGCUUCCAUAAGGAGCUCCCUUUUGGUGUCACCAUAACUAGGUAAUGUCCAAGCUGACAAGAUCGUGUUUUUUCAUUUAAAAAUUUUGACCAUGCAGCGCUAUUGAGCAUGCCUUUCUUCUUUUUGCUCAACACUUUGUUGAGCCCAAACUUCUCAUUUUUCUUGAUCUUCUUGUUGAUCAUAUGGACAGAGUAAUCAAUUUCAGCUAAUGUACACAUUUCAGCUAAUCAAUUUCAAGCAAAUAUGAGAUUAUUUCAGCAGUAUCAUGUUUUCUUGUAAAUAGCUGUCUCUGGUGUAUGUCUGCUUCAUGGGGGUAAAUUUUGUAUAAAUUUCAGAUAGGUUGUGGCUAAAUUGUGAUCACCUGCAGAGACUUGACCACGUGGGGGUGGUGGGAUAGACAGAUGGUGAUAAACCUCAAAUUCCUUUUCAUUGGAUAACUUUCACGUGUAGAUGAUAUGAGGCUUUGUAGGAAUUAGUUUGCUGGAUUUGUAGUCCUCGCUCUAAGGAAUUGAGAAUAGCUUGUUUUAGCUAUGUUUUCUAUUAUCAUUGCGUCAUACCUGCUUAUUACCCCACCCGCUUUGUUGCCAUCCAAGUUUGCCUCUCCAUUGAAGGCAAAAUGUGUACUCAGCUAUGGAUUGACAAGAGCUAUUGAAGAAAAUGCCAAAUUUUGUAUCAUUCAUCUCAAUUUUAAAUCAUAGUUAAAUUUAAAAAUCAAUUUAAGGAAAUUUAAAAUUUAUUACAAAAAAAUUGUAUUUUGUUGUGAAGUAACAAUUUAACAUGAUAUGUGGUUCAGCUUAAAGGUUUAGCCUUUUAUAGAACUGAUGAAAAAUAAGGCCCUUUUAACGUUGGGAAGAGGCUGGGCACAUUGGUUGCAUGGAAACAAUUGUUUUUGACCUUGAAUGCAAUCCAUAGCUUCUUGAAUUUCUAUCAUUCCUUUGCACUGCAGGCUGGAAUAUUUCACAACUGAAUACAAAAAGGGUAGCCGGCGCUCAAGCGAUGGAGGUAGAGGAGGGGUGUGGAAGAGAAGAAAUUAACGAGGAAGUGAAAAAGAAAAUUUCAUCUUAAAAGGGUGCCUUAUUAUUUUGUUGCUAAAUUUUAUCAUUAUUAACAUGUUCAUCCUUCUAAUUUGAAAAAUAGAUUAAAAUGUAUGUAAAGUAUGGUUCGUCUACAAAAUGUUACCUCCAUUUGAUAAUUUCAAAUGAAUUAAAUUACUAUUUUUUCUUAAGUUUUGU
rnacentral:misc_RNA from 1 species